AUUGAACGCUGGUGGCAGGCUUAACACAUGCAAGUCGAACGGUAACAGGAAUUCGCUUGCUAAUUUGCUGCCGAGUGGCGGACGUGUGAGUAAUGCUUGGGAAUCUGGCUUAUGGAGGGGGAUAACUACGGGAAACUGUAGCUAAUACCGCGUAAAAUCUUCGGAUUAAAGGGUGGGACUUUCGAGCCACCUGCCAUAAGAUGAGCCCAAGUGGGAUUAGGUAGUUGGUUAGGUAAAGGCUGACCAAGCCGACGAUCUCUAGCUGGUCUGAGAGGAUGACCAGCCACACUGGAACUGAGACACGGUCCAGACUCCUACGGGAGGCAGCAGUGGGGAAUAUUGCACAAUGGGGGGAACCCUGAUGCAGCCAUGCCGCGUGAAUGAAGAAGGCCUUCGGGUUGUAAAGUUCUUUCGGUGACGAGGAAGGUUGAUAGGUUAAUAGCCUAUCAAAUUGACGUUAAUCACAGAAGAAGCACCGGCUAACUCCGUG
rnacentral:rRNA from 1 species